CUCCCUCGUUGCUGAUCUCAGGCUCGAUAAUGCCAAAUCGCACCACCUCGCCUAAAAACCAACUUCGAUGAAGCGACGGGCGGUGUGUG
rnacentral:rRNA from 1 species